CCCUUUGGGUGUGACUGCGUACCUUUUGUAUAAUGGGUCAGCGACUUAUAUUCUGUAGCAAGGUUAACCGAAUAGGGGAGCCGGAGGGAAACCGAGUCUUAAUUGGGCGUUAAGUUGCAGGGUAUAGACCCGAAACCCGGUGAUCUAGCCAUGGGCAGGUUGAAGGUUGGGUAACACUAACUGGAGGACCGAACCGACUAAUGUUGAAAAAUUAGCGGAUGACCUGUGGCUGGGGGUGAAAGGCCAAUCAAACCGGGAGAUAGCUGGUUCUCCCCGAAAGCUAUUUAGGUAGCGCCUCGUGAAUUCAUCUCCGGGGGUAGAGCACUGUUUCGGCUAGGGGGCCAUCCCGGCUUACCAACCCGAUGCAAACUGCGAAUACCGGAGAAUGUUAUCACGGGAGACACACGGCGGGUGCUAACGUCCGUCGUGAAGAGGGAAACAACCCAGACCGCCAGCUAAGGUCCCAAAGUCAUGGUUAAGUGGGAAACGAUGUGGGAAGGCCCAGACAGCCAGGAUGUUGGCUUAGAAGCAGCCAUCAUUUAAAGAAAGCGUAAUAGCUCACUGGUCGAGUCGGCCUGCGCGGAAGAUGUAACGGGGCUAAACCAUGCACCGAAGCUGCGGCAGCGACACUGUGUGUUGUUGGGUAGGGGAGCGUUCUGUAAGCCUGCGAAGGUGGCCUGUGAGGG
rnacentral:rRNA from 2 species